rnacentral:rRNA from 2 species
CCACCUGAUCCCAUGCCGAACUCAGAAGUGAAACGUUGUAGCGCCGAUGGUAGUGUGGGGUCUCCCCAUGUGAGAGUAGGGAACUGCCAGGC